UACGUAGGGCGCAAGCGUUAUCCGGAAUUAUUGGGCGUAAAGAGCUCGUAGGCGGUUUGUCGCGUCCGCUGUGAAAGCCCGGAGCUCAACUCCGGAGGGUCGGUGGAUACUGCCAGUCUUGAAGGUGCUAGGGGGAGAUGGAAUUACCGGUGUAGCGGUGAAAUGCGUAGAUAUCGGUAGGAACACCAGUGGCGAAGGCGGUCUCCUGGGGCAUUCUUGACGCUGAGGAGCGAAAGCUAGGGGAGCAAACGGG
rnacentral:rRNA from 1 species